GACGAACGCUGGCGGCGUGCUUAACACAUGCAAGUCGAACGAUGAAGCUGGAGCUUGCUCUGGCGGAUUAGUGGCGAACGGGUGAGUAACACGUGAGAAAUCUGCCCUUGGCCCUGGGAUAACUGCGGGAAACUGUAGCUAAUACCGGAUACUUUCCCUGGUGGGCAUCCACUGGGGAAGAAAGAAUUUCGGUCAAGGAUGAUCUCGCGGCCUAUCAGCUUGUUGGUGAGGUAAUGGCUCACCAAGGCGACGACGGGUAGCCGGCCUGAGAGGGUGACCGGCCACACUGGGACUGAGACACGGCCCAGACUCCUACGGGAGGCAGCAGUGGGAAAUAUUGCACAAUGGGCGCAAGCCUGAUGCAGCAACGCCGCGUGAGGGAUGAAGGCCUUCGGGUUGUAAACCUCUUUUAGCAGGGAAGAAGCGAAAGUGACGGUACCUGCAGAAAAAGCACCGGCUAACUACGUGCCAGCAGCCGCGGUAA
rnacentral:rRNA from 1 species